CCUCAGUAGUUAGAUAACAAAACUACUCGCCAGAAUACUACAAGCUAUAGCUUAAAACUCAAAGGACUUGACGGUGCUUUACACCCCCUAGAGGAGCCUGUUCCGUAAUCGAUAAACCCCGAUCCACCCCACCCUCUCUUGCUCAGCCUAUAUACCGCCAUCUUCAGCAAACCCUAAUGAGGGUCACAAAGUGAGCGCAAAUGCCAUUGCCGCAAACACGUUAGGUCAAGGUGUAGCCUAUGAGACGGUAAAAAAUGGGCUACAUUUUCUACCUCAGAAAAUUCCACGAAAACCCUUAUGAAAUUUAAGGGUCCAAGGAGGAUUUAGCAGUAAAUUAAGAAUAGAGUGCUUAAUUGAACCAGGCCAUAAAGCG
rnacentral:rRNA from 1 species